rnacentral:rRNA from 1 species
UACGUAGGGGGCAAGCGUUGUCCGGAAUUAUUGGGCGUAAAGCGCGCGCAGGCGGUUUCUUAAGUCUGGUGUGAAAGCCCGCAGCUCAACUGCGGAGGGCCACUGGAAACUGGGAAGCUUGAGUGUAGGAGAGGAGAGCGGAAUUCCACGUGUAGCGGUGAAAUGCGUAGAUAUGUGGAGGAACACCCGUGGCGAAAGCGGCUCUCUGGCCUAUAACUGACGCUGAGGCGCGAAAGCGUGGGGAGCGAACGGG